rnacentral:RNase_P_RNA from 3 species
GAGAGUUAGCGCGGCAGUUGCAGAAUAGACCAAAGCAAUUUGGAUCUAUCUCCGAGGAAAGUCCGGGCUCCCAAAAGACCAAACUUGCUGGGUAACCCCCAGUGCGCGUGAGCGUGAGGAUAGUGCCACAGAAACAUACCGCCGUAACAGUGAACAGUGAACAGUGAACAGGGGACAGUGAACAGUGGAAAUCCAGUGGGACAAACAUUGAUAACUGAUAACUGAUAACUGAUAACUGAAACCUGAAAAGGUAAGGGUGCAAAGGUGACGGUAAGAGCGCACCAGCAGUAUCGAGAGGUACUGGCUUGGUAAACCCCGGUGGGGAGCAAGGUCGGUGGGACAAGGUUGGUCUUUUCCCUACCCAGUGAUGGAGAACCGCUAGAGGUGACUGGUAACAGCCAUCCCAGAUAGAUAACUGCCCUUGGCAUUGCCCAAGAACAGAACCCGGCUUACGUCUAACUCUCCCAA